CGUUCUCCUUCCUGGCUGCCCUCGGCUUUGCUAUGCACUUCUUCAUGAUGCGCAGCAUUUCCCGCUUUGCCACACUAUAAAAAAUAUGAUUUGUAAUUGUUGGACUAAUUAAAGUUUUCAAGUUAGUCAGACUCAGAAAUAAGGUUUCACUAUGUUUAACUACCAAAACAGUAUCUGGCCAGCAAACUUCUCUCUAUCGUUGCAUCAAAAGAUUCCGUUUCAGGGGCACGAGUGAGUGGGCGUCAAUAUCGACCUUGUGGCUCGCCAAGGAUCAAGUUUUGACGAUUUGUCGAGUAUUUAUUUGGCUUAAAAUAUAUCUGAAGAAUUUCAUCGCAUCACCAGCAAAGACCUCCUGAAGACUUUCAAUGAGUCCCUUGAGAAUUAUGUGCCUCGCCUGCUCAGACUGUAACGGGCUAGAAAGGGAGCUUUUGGUCAGCAAAUAAAAGACUUCCUGGAUAAGCUUGAUGAACAGACAUCAGACAAUGUGUCUCACCGAAAGAUGACAGCACUGAGAUGCCUCCCCGUUUGUCCGGGACGACACAACUAAGUUUUUCCUGGAGCAUUUGAAAACUGACCCUGAAGAAAGAGUGCUCAGAUUGGCAUCCUUACAAUCCUUGAAGAAGAUGAUCCUGCUGUAUCACCCAACGUACGGGACUGGGCUGUUGUGUUGGAAGGUUCAAUCGUGCUACAUGACCUGCCAGACCUCGGUACCGCCUUUGCAUACCUCUUUGGCCUACUUUAUGCUAUGAACAUCGAUUAUGCAAAGGAGAUUAAGUACACCUUUGAAGCAAUUCAGUCUAUCUUUUUCGAGUUUGGCUCUCAGUGCUCUCAGCGGACAAGGUCUCUGAAAACCAAGCUUUUGCUGUGACUCUUAAUGUGGAAGCCAACCUAUGUUUUUUGCCUGUUCUAGUGCAUUGUGGUUGGUGCUCAUGUAAAACUUCACGGCCAGUGAUUUAAAACAUGCAAGACCUCACGGAAAACAAUUGUAUUUUUUUCAAAUUGUAUUUACAAUUAAGUGAGAUACACAAUUUAUUUUAUUUUAUUUUUUUCAAAAUGUAUUUCAAAUUGAGUGAGAUUCACAAAAUGGCAUCAUGCUACAUAACCCGCCAGACCUCGGUACUGCCUUUGCAUACCUCUUUGGCCUACUGUAUGCCAUGAACAUUGAUUAUCCGAAGGAGAUGAAGUACACAUUUGAAGCCAUUCAGACUAUCUUUUUCGAGCUUGGCUCUGUGCUCAAGUCUCCUCUGCCUCUGAAAUAGAUUAGCUGCUGCUGCUCUUGCUGCAAAACAUCAAAAAACACUUCUUCAUUCACACACAGAGUAAAGCCUUUUGAAAUGUAUACAUUUGUACAAUAAUACAUAUUCAUCUUAGUACCUAAAUUCUCAAAAAUGAAAAUGUAGUUUGAUUAGGAUUGCUGGAAGAUGACGCAAAUGCAACCAAUCUCCGCAAAUUAUUUGCAGCCUUGCAUCUUUUUCUAAUGCAGACAACUUCCCAGCAUAUUUUGGCCAAUCAAAUUUGUAUCUGAGCGGCAUUUAAACGUGUUUUUCUAAUGCUGACAACUUCCCUGCAUAUUUUAGCCAAUCAAAUUUGUAUCUGAGCGGCGUUUAAACGUGCAUGUCAACUGUAACUGGUAACAAUAUAUCAACUUUUUAUUGCUGUCCAAGGUGGAAGCAGGUGAUGAUACCAUCCACCCACUCAUCCCCUCAAAAAUCCCCCUCACACCCCCUGGGCUCUACUGCUACACACACUGCCUGGAAAAGUUAACACACACACAUAGUGCUCUGUUCUUUGUUUCACUGUUUGUUAUCAUCUCUGAUCUUCUCCAUAAAAUUGGAUUUUGUGUAGUCGUCAGAAUUCACGGUAUUGCUGGAAAAAUACAGGGACGCAUUUAAAACACGCAUUACAUGUUUUUAAGCGCAUGUGUUUACCUUAUUUCAGUAGCGGCGUGAACAGCAGCAAAAUCCAUCUGCAAAACAUCAAAAAACACUUCUUCAUUCACACACAGAGUAAAGCCUUUUGAAAUGUAUACAUUUGUACAAUAAUACAUAUUCAUCUUAGUAACUAAAUUCUCAAAAAUGAAAAUUUAGUUUGAUUAGGAUUGCUGGAAGAUGACGCAAAUGCAACCAAUCUCCGCAAAUUAUUUGCAGCCUUGCAUCUUUUUCUAAUGCUGACAACUUCCCCGCAUAUUUUGGCCAGUCAAAUUUGUAUCUGAGCGGCGUUUAAACGUGCAUGUCAACUGUAACUGGUAACAAUAUAUCAACUUUUUAUUGCUACUUCUGGGUCCUGUUUAAAGCACUAAGCCUUCUGGGUAUUGUAGUAUAUAAACAUUUAGCAACACACUGGCAGCCUCACUUCCUAGUUUACAUAUAUUUACUCAACCUAAAGUCCUCCAAGGAAAGACAAUUAGGAACAUAUUUUCAUUUGCAAUGCUGCCCUAAAAAAAGAGGCAGCAUUUAAAUGACUGAGAUGUUGAAGUGUGAGUAUGCAGUGUUUCCCAUAAACAUAAACAGCAUUAUGAAAAACAGUCAAAUAAAUGAAAAUACUGGUCGAUGUGCAAAUAUUGACAUUAAAUAAAUGCUUAAGCCAACAAAAUGUGCAAAGUAUUGUAAUUAAGAAAUUAAUAGUGUACAACUCAGGCUUUAAAGCCAUAUUGGUAACAAUAUAUGCAAAUAAAUAACAGUCACAUUAAGCAAGGAGAAACAAACAUGUCUUACAGAAUAUUGUGAACAUCGGAAUAAACCUGCGUCUGAACAUCUGUGACAAAACAAACCUGUUACCCUCUUCAGUCAUUUAUGGAAAAAUCAAACCAACUUCAGUAUCUCCUUUUCCACGGAUUCCCUGCACAUUGUGUAAAGCUUAGGAAUAGCUGUCUUGGAAAAGUGCUUUCGGCCAGGUAGAACAUAACGGGGGUCGAGCACGUGUAUGAGAUUCUUGUACCCAGACUUCUCAACUAUGCUGAGCGGUAGCAUGUCCUUCGCUAAUUGAUACACCACUGCAUCCGUUAUUUCUUUAUAACGUUUUGAAUUUUUGUCGUAUGGCACUGCUGCCGAGUAAUACUGUCUGCGGCAACAACAGACCACCAUCGAGACGAUGGUGGUCUGUUGUUGCCGCUUCGGUGCUGUUCCACUUGCACCGGCUGAUGUAGAUGGUUGUGGCUGUUUGAUACUGCUGUACUCCAGCGGGUGAGAGCGGCUCAGGUAGAACAUAACGGGGGUCGAGCACGUGUAUGAGAUUCUUGUACCCAGACUUCUCAACUAUGCUGAGCGGUAGCAUGUCCUUCGCUAAUUGAUACACCACUGCAUCCGUCAUUUUAUCUUAAAUUAAGGAGUUGCUUCCUUGCUGCUCUGUCAUUAGCCUUAUCAUCCUCAUCUUGAGGAAAGAGACUGCGCUAGAGUAGCUAUGUUUGUAACGUAUGGUGUUAUCGGUGAGGUCGAAGAUUCAGCCAUUAAUCCUGCUUGUUGUUCUGUAUUUUUGCCAUCUUGUGUGGAAACACAACGAUACAAAAUGUUUCUAAAGUCUGCCACAGCAAAAGGCUUAUAUUGAAAUCUGCCGCUUUUAUCAGGAAAAAGUGGAUAUGCGUGUCCCUCCAGCUUUUUUUUAAGCGUGUGUUGUAUGCAUGUGGUUCAUGUGGGUGUUGGUCAAUGUAGCCUUCCAUUGAGCCAUUAACAGUUACAGGAGACCACAAAGUCUGGCUCUGUUGUGUGUUGUUCAAGAAUGUCUGAUGUGCAUGUGAGAGACUGUCAUCUACUGGGGGAGGGCAUUUGUUUAUGGCAACAAAAUGGUCUGGCGUGUAAAGUGAGGAGUUUUGCGUUGACUCAUGCAUUAUCUGCUGUCUAGUAAGAUUAGGAAUAUUCGGGAGGUUUUCCGCUGGGUGGCUGUUAUUUUGGGGCUUAGGCACCAGAGGUGAAUUACACUCAGGAGACAGCGUUAGUUUUGGAGGAGGGUUCAAUCUUAGAGAGGCUGUGUGAACACCGUCCUCGUUUGUCACAGGAGUAGGGGGUGGACCAGAGAGCUUUGUUUCUGUUUCGACCACCAGGGCUCCUCCUGUGACUGUCAAAAGUGGGUAUAAAGAUGCCUCCGGCCUUACGUCAUAGGUCGGUGGCUUAGUCAAAGUCUGGGCGGGUCGUUUGAAUUGUCUUACGCAUGCGCGGCAGACAAAAAACCAAUCAGUCAAUUCUGUCAUUAAUCAUCGGUUCUUUUGUUGCAUUUCGUUUUUCCACGUAAUCCCCGUUUACUUUUAUCAUACGCCAAACUCUUAAAUUAUCUCCCUGAGUGUUCCAUUUUCACCAGCGCACACACACACACACAUGCACGUGUAAGCACUCACGCACAUACAAGCAAGUGCCUACAGCCCUACGCACACACACACACGCACACGUAAGCACUCUCUCUGCGUUUCACUUUACCAUAAAACUUCCAGUUACUUUUUUAUUUUAUUUUUUAUUUUACCAGACGUUUGAGUUCACAACUUUUCGAGUAUUGUAAACUCCCUCUUAACCCUUUCAAGGAACGUUCUCUUUUCUUUCUUUCUUUUCUUUUUCUUUUUAAACUCUACCUGCUAAUUCCAUUGUCGACAACAGUGCAUUCAAUUGAUUAUUAAACAGUAAUGAUUCAUCACAUUUUCCCCAGCCGUCAUCACAUUAUUUUCUGUCACACUCCUUGGCCAUUGUGUCUAUUUUUCCUUAAUUUUAGCGCACACUAAAGUGUCGCCGGGACCUCACAACCAGGGAAUCUUUAUUGUAUUUAUUACAAAUGGCCUCCAGCCGUGGAAUUUAUCAUAUGGUACAGAAGGGCCUCCUCCCGUACGAUUCUUAAUUUUAACGCACACGUUAAUGCCGUAGGGAACUCGCACCAGGGAGUAUUUAUUGUAUUUUACAAAUGGCCUCCAACCCAUCCUUAAUUUGUGUGCACAUAAAAAUGUCAACAGGGAUCUUACAACCAGGGAGUAUUUACUGUACCAUAUGAUGGGCAUCCAACCCGUUACUCUUUUAGGCGGCGACCAACUACCCAGGGUGAGCCACACCCAACUAUUAGUUCACUCGUCAAUGAAACUGCCCGUCACGGUAAUCGAGACACAAUGACGUGAGUUGACCACUUAUUUACAAUUUUAAUGCAAUGGCAGGCUCGGCAAAAAUGCAAUCAAUCUAUCAAAAUCACCAUUCUGUGUCUGGGGUACAAAGCAGUGUUUAACUUACAGACUUCUGGGCAGACUCCUAAUGCAGAUUUUAUCUAAAAAGAAAGGUUCUGCUUACCUUGAAUUAUGUUUUGGCCAUGUGAGUCUGUCCAGAAGAUUGCAAGAGAAGGUCCAAUUGUCAGCGUGUCAUCUCGGACGAAGCCCCCAAAUUGUUGCGUUUGACCAGAUGUUCCUCCAAGUGGGAUGUAAAACGCUGGUCAGUCCCAAGUUCCUUAGAUGACACAUAAACUGAUCUCGAAUAUACCACCAAGCACAGUAUAGGUAUUUUGUAAUUUAUUGUCAAAUAUUUGAGAAUAGAGACCAGCCUCGAACAACACAUACAAAUGCGUAGCCCAAGUUGAUCUGAAAAACAUCCCGGAAUGCACUCUCCUCUUCAAUAUUUCACCCCCCCCCCCCCCCCCGCCCUCACUUGUCUCACCUCAAACACAUGCUCAUUGUGCUUCUUAUCUAGAGUUGGGCUGCAGGAAAGCAAGGAGGAUUCCUUCUCUCUGCCUUCCACCCCAAGGCCAUCCCCAGUGCAAGCACUUUGUCAUGAGAUAAAAAGAAAAGCAAAGAGUACAAUAUGGAACAUUAGCUAUAUGUAAUAUGACUAUGAAAAUUAAUAAGUAACACAAAAUAUGGAUAUAUGAAGAUAUAUAUAUAUCUUUCAGUCUGUAGUCUCAAAGAAAGUGACACUGGUAUUGUACAAAAGCUCAACUGGCUGACUGUCUUACGAAAAAGGGGGCAUCACCCUUGAUGCUUUUGAAAGCACUGAGUGAAGGAAAAUGGGUUCUUACCUAAGUUGAAUUUAUUGUUUCUGUUGUUUAAAAAAGACAUGUAUUUGUUCUCAAGAAACAUGUGCUAUUUAAUUUUUAUUUAUUUAUAAAAGAUAGGGAGAUUGUUAACAUGUUUCUGGGUUAACGCAUGUGCAGUGUUUGUGUAACGCAUGCGCAGUGUUCGUGGGCGGGAAGAGGGGAUCGAGUGUUUCCGGUUUUACCUCUGUGCGUCAGUUCAUUAAAGUUGUGAACCAGAAUAGACGUCGUGUUUAUUCACCCUCUGUGAGGAUUGUACUCACUUUAGUUAUAAUUGUAUUGUUGAUGGUUUGGUCAAGUGUAUGAACGACUUUUCAGUGGCAAAGCGGGAAAUGCUGCGCACUAUGAAGAAGUGCAUAGCAAAGCCGAGGACAGCCAGGAAGGAGAACAGGCCAGUGGUUGUGCCCCUGGCUGCGAGUAACCCCUGGCUGCAGCCCGCAGAUCGAGGAGGGGCUUAUUUUCCCUCAAUGUGGGCGGGUCUCAACGUUGAGCCCGCGGGCUCCAUCUGGUGGCGGAGAUCCGGCAGCACACAUUCUCAAACGUCAAUAAAGCUACUUUUAACUUGUCAAAAGUAUUUUUUUUACCAUGAAAAAACAAUAAAAUAUAUAUAUAUAUAUAUAUAUAUAUAAACCAUAGUAUGGAAAAAGGUUAAUGUAUUUGAUAGACUUAGACAUUCCUACUUUUAACUUGUCAAAUGUAUUUUUUUUUACCACGGGGGCUUCAUCUGGUGGCGGAGAUCCGGCAGCACAUUCUCAAACGUCAAUAAAGCUACUUUUAACUUGUCAAAUGUAUCUGCCAUCUUUUUUGUAGUUUGAUUCCUUUUUUAUUAUCUUUAUUAUUUUCUGUAUUGAUCCUACACUAUUAUUGUGGUUUUUUUGUUACUUCUGAUAUGGCCUUGCCACGGUUUACUUGCUUAUUUAUUUAUUUAUUUUUUGUGUCUUUUUAUUUUGUAUUGUUUUACAUCUGAUCAACUUCUGUGACUUUCCUUUUCUUUUUUAAGUGUGAACGGUGAAGAGGUCCUCGAGAGGUGAUCUUGGGAUCACUUCCUGAGGAUCCUUGAUGCCGAGGAAUGUUCAUCCAUCUUGCUGCAUAAAUCCAUUUGAUGUCAUUAAAAUUCAUCAAGAGCAACGUGUGUGUAUGUUUACCCUUUUCCUGUCUUACUAGUGGUUAUUUUGUCAACUACAGAGAGUUGCAGGUGUUUAUUAUAUGGUAUUACUGUAUAUACAAUACCAGUCAGGUUUUUUCACACAUUCUCAUGCUAUUUAAUGACUGUAUAUUUUGUAUUUUUU